rnacentral:piRNA from 1 species
UUAUUUAUUUUAAAUCUAAAGUUGUGGGUC